rnacentral:rRNA from 1 species
UACGAAGGGGGCUAGCGUUGCUCGGAAUCAAUGGGCGUAAAGCGCACGUAGGCGGCUUCUUAAGUCAGGGGUGAAAUCCUGGAGCUCAACUCCAGAACUGCCUUUGAUACUGAAGAUCUUGAGUCCGGGAGAGGUGAGUGGAACUGCGAGUGUAGAGGUGAAAUUCGUAGAUAUUCGCAAGAACACCAGUGGCGAAGGCGGCUCACUGGCCCGGUACUGACGCUGAGGCACGAAAGCGUGGGGAGCAAACAGG